GUCGCAGCCCUUGUCCUGGGACCAGCACAGCAAUACUCGGAACAUUUGCAUCUACCACGGUAAGCAAAGCUGCGUCUAGAGUCAGCGUCUAUUCCUGUCCGGACCCAUCUAUAGCCCCAGGGCCACUGGCAUCUGUCCAACUCUUGGGGUUUUUCUCCCAGGGAAGCUGCUCCACAGCCAUCUGUAGUUCCUGUCUCUCUCAUUGGCAAAGAGAGCAGUCUGUAUUGGCAUGUCCAUUUUCCCCUGUUUAAUAACUCCACCUGGGUAGCAGUUGAUUUGAAACUACAGCCAAGAGAACCAAGAGCAAUGUAGCUGUCAUUAUGUAGCAAACACCAGAGAGAGAGAGAGAGAGAGAGAGAGAGAGAUUAAAGAAUGGAGUGGUAACAGUUUGUAAACAAUCCCUGUCACGUAAGUGCUGGGAUA